UACGAAGGGGGCUAGCGUUGCUCGGAAUUACUGGGCGUAAAGGGCGCGUAGGCGGGUCGUUAAGUUAGAGGUGAAAGCCCAGGGCUCAACCCUGGAAUUGCCUUUAAUACUGUCGACCUUGAGUAUGGCAGAGGUGUGUGGAACUCCGAGUGUAGAGGUGAAAUUCGUAGAUAUUCGGAAGAACACCAGUGGCGAAGGCGACACACUGGGCCAUACUGACGCUGAGGCGCGAAAGCGUGGGGAGCAAACAGG
rnacentral:rRNA from 1 species